UGAACUGAGGGUAGCGGAGAAAUUCCAAUCGAACCUGGAGAUAGCUGGUUCUCUCCGAAAUAGCUUUAGGGCUAGCCUCAAGUGAUGAUUAUUGGAGGUAGAGCACUGUUUGGACGAGGGGCCCCUCUCGGGUUACCGAAUUCAGACAAACUCCGAAUGCCAAUUAAUUUAACUUGGGAGUCAGAACAUGGGUGAUAAGGUCCGUGUUCGAAAGGGAAACAGCCCAGACCACCAGCUAAGGUCCCAAAAUAUAUGUUAAGUGGAAAAGGAUGUGGCGUUGCCCAGACAACUAGGAUGUUGGCUUAGAAGCAGCCAUCAUUUAAAGAGUGCGUAAUAGCUCACUAGUCGAGUGACACUGCGCCGAAAAUGUACCGGGGCUAAACAUAUUACCGAAGCUGUGGAUUGUCCUUUGGACAAUGGUAGGAGAGCGUUCUAAGGGCGUUGAAGCAUGAUCGUAAGGACAUGUGGAGCGCUUAGAAGUGAGAAUGCCGGUGUGAGUAGCGAAAGACGGGUGAGAAUCCCGUCCACCGAUUGACUAAGGUUUCCAGAGGAAGGCUCGUCCGCUCUGGGUUAGUCGGGUCCUAAGCUGAGGCCGACAGGCGUAGGCGAUGGAUAACAGGUUGAUAUUCCUGUACCACCUAUAAUCGUUUUAAUCGAUGGGGGGACGCAGUAGGAUAGGCGAAGCGUGCGAUUGGAUUGCACGUCUAAGCAGUAAGGCUGAGUAUUAGGCAAAUCCGGUACUCGUUAAGGCUGAGCUGUGAUGGGGAGAAGACAUUGUGUCUUCGAGUCGUUGAUUUCACACUGCCGAGAAAAGCCUCUAGAUAGAAAAUAGGUGCCCGUACCGCAAACCGACACAGGUAGUCAAGAUGAGAAUUCUAAGGUGAGCGAGCGAACUCUCGUUAAGGAACUCGGCAAAAUGACCCCGUAACUUCGGGAGAAGGGGUGCUCUUUAGGGUUAACGCCCAGAAGAGCCGCAGUGAAUAGGCCCAAGCGACUGUUUAUCAAAAACACAGGUCUCUGCUAAACCGUAAGGUGAUGUAUAGGGGCUGACGCCUGCCCGGUGCUGGAAGGUUAAGAGGAGUGGUUAGCUUCUGCGAAGCUACGAAUCGAAGCCCCAGUAAACGGCGGCCGUAACUAUAACGGUCCUAAGGUAGCGAAAUUCCUUGUCGGGUAAGUUCCGACCCGCACGAAAGGCGUAACGAUUUGGGCACUGUCUCAACGAGAGACUCGGUGAAAUCAUAGUACCUGUGAAGAUGCAGGUUACCCGCGACAGGACGGAAAGACCCCGUGGAGCUUUACUGUAGCCUGAUAUUGAAAUUCGGCACAGCUUGUACAGGAUAGGUAGGAGCCUUUGAAACGUGAGCGCUAGCUUACGUGGAGGCGCUGGUGGGAUACUACCCUAGCUGUGUUGGCUUUCUAACCCGCACCACUUAUCGUGGUGGGAGACAGUGUCAGGCGGGCAGUUUGACUGGGGCGGUCGCCUCCUAAAAGGUAACGGAGGCGCUCAAAGGUUCCCUCAGAAUGGUUGGAAAUCAUUCAUAGAGUGUAAAGGCAUAAGGGAGCUUGACUGCGAGACCUACAAGUCGAGCAGGGUCGAAAGACGGACUUAGUGAUCCGGUGGUUCCGCAUGGAAGGGCCAUCGCUCAACGGAUAAAAGCUACCCCGGGGAUAACAGGCUUAUCUCCCCCAAGAGUUCACAUCGACGGGGAGGUUUGGCACCUCGAUGUCGGCUCAUCGCAUCCUGGGGCUGUAGUCGGUCCCAAGGGUUGGGCUGUUCGCCCAUUAAAGCGGUACGCGAGCUGGGUUCAGAACGUCGUGAGACAGUUCGGUCCCUAUCCGUCGUGGGCGUAGGAAAUUUGAGAGGAGCUGUCCUUAGUACGAGAGGACCGGGAUGGACAUACCUCUGGUGUACCAGUUGUCGUGCCAACGGCAUAGCUGGGUAGCUAUGUGUGGACGGGAUAAGUGCUGAAAGCAUCUAAGCAUGAAGCCCCCCUCAAGAUGAGAUUUCCCAACUUCGGUUAUAAGAUCCCUCAAAGAUGAUGAGGUUAAUAGGUUCGAGGUGGAAGCAUGGUGACAUGUGGAGCUGACGAAUACUAAUCGAUCGAAGACUUAAUCAA
rnacentral:rRNA from 1 species